GGCAGGCGGGCGGGGCAGGAAGGGGGAGACGCGGCUCCCGGCCCCCGAGAUCCUUAACUGCAGCUCCCAAAGCCCUGGCUGAUCCUAAUCAGUGUGGGAAAGGAGCGCGGGCCGGCCCAGCCCGCCGCAGACGCCGCCUCCUUUCGUGAACGUUCUCGCCGCGCACAGCCGCCGAUAAAGCGCCGUAAACGCGCGGGCGGCCGGAGUGUGCCGGGCCGGGGCUGCGGCGCACGCCCGCCCCGCCGCGGCCCUGCAGCUCCCGGGGGAGCGUCAUUCUCCUUUCCGCUUCAUGGGACGUAAAUUUCGGUGCAAGACAGCAGCGGCCCAGUCUUGUGAAAUUCCCGAAGCAAGCCCUUCUGGAGAUGAAGAAUGAGGAGGGCUGGCGGGGAAGCACAGGAUAGAGCGUAGGGUGUGGUCCGAACACGCCGACAGCACAGUGCUUGGAGAAGAGGGUGCCAAGGAUUUGGAGAAAGCCUGGAUGAGCAGCGAUCUUCCCUGUGUGGAAAGUUCUGCAGCUUCUGAACAGACAGAGGGGCUCCUCGUACGGCACCCGUGGCCUGCCUUACUGUGGUUCAUAAAUAGUCCCUUCCCCUCCCUGGGGAAAGAUGAUAUUUCUCCUCCUUGCUGACAUCAGCUUUGGUCAUAGGGUUUGCCCUGGCCGGUGAAACGAGCAGAAGUGAGAUCCGUCACUUCCAGGCAGAAGAUUCAAGAGCCACCUUGAGGCUUACCACAUGCUCUUCUCCCUCGGCCACAAGACUGGCCCUGUUCCAAAUCUACCACUCCAUCAGCCUGGUCCCAGAGGCAAGGUGACCCGGAGCAGACCUGCAAGUGAGACUGUCAGACGUCUCAGGAAGCACGAGAAAAAAUAUUUGAAAUAAAUAAAAAACAUUAAUAAAAAAAAAAAAAAAAGACGAGGAGAAGCCAGAGGCAGAAACUGAAUGAUGCAGCCGCAAACCAAAGAAUACCGGGAGUCACCAGAAGCUGAAAGAAGCAAAGGAGGGUCCUCCCUGAGAGCUUGGAGGGAGCCUGGGACCCUGCUGACGUCUUGACUUCAGACUUCCAGCCUCCAGAACUGUAAGAAAAUA